UACGUAGGGUGCGAGCGUUAAUCGGAAUUACUGGGCGUAAAGGGUGCGCAGGCGGUUCUGCAAGUCAGGCGUGAAAGCCCCGGGCUUAACCUGGGAAUGGCGCUUGAAACUACAGGACUGGAGUAUGGCAGAGGGAGGUGGAAUUCCACGUGUAGCGGUGAAAUGCGUAGAGAUGUGGAGGAACACCGAUGGCGAAGGCAGCCCCCUGGGCUAACACUGACGCUAGGCACGAAAGCGUGGGGGGCAAACAGG
rnacentral:rRNA from 1 species